CGUAUGCACUUCUUCGCCAAAAUGCGCAUACGGGUAGCUCUUUUCCUAGCAUAUCAGCUAGGGUUUUGCUUUUCCGUUUCUUGUUGACGUACUUUUAUGUCAUUCCGGUUAAUGGAAAAGCGAUGCAAAAUGUAUGCAUGACCUUAUACGGCCAGCAGGGACAAUGACCUAGAGGAAAUGCUGACUGCGACUAUUCGGCCAAAGGCCACAUUAUCCCCAGCUGACUGCAUGGAAGUCACUUAUAUUGGGCCGCAGCGCAGUGUUAGUGCUGCAUGAAUUUUACUAUUUUAGUAUGCAAAGGAAAAUACGCCACGGUACACUGCCUAACGGUAGCAGUCUAAAAGCAGAUCUUUUACCAUUGCCUGCGAAGUAAAAUAAAAUAAUGGGAAGGAUAUCGAUAUGCCGAGACGAUCUAUCGCUCAUCAUCCCGUUCUAAAAGCACGGCAACCUGAUGAGAUAGGCGACAGCUACCGUGAGCCGGGAUAGCCGAUACCGUGCAUGUGGAACCCAUCGGCCGCCAAGUGUUGGCGGAGUAUUAUAAGCGCGACGCCUGCCCAUCCGUUGAUUUCGAUCUUCCCCUAAAGCAUGGGGCUGCUUUAGGUUUACUUUUCGAUGGGACUUUAAACUAACAUUUUAUAAAAUGUGCUGGAAAUCCAACAUGGAGGCAGCAUCCUCGGGCUUGUAGCAGGUUGCCAAACCGUGGCGGUUGACAGGUGUAGUGUUCUGGUGUAUAUGCUUUUGUCGUACUUAGCAACGCGGUGAUUGCUGUUGUACAGUACUUCCUAGCUGUUGCUGUUCAUGGCGUUUAGUUCUUAGGCUGACUGGCCAGCGUUCAUGUCGUACCAAAAUCCUAUUUUGCAAUGCGGGACAACAGGGUUGCAUUAGCACAACAAGAAAUUUUUUGAAAGAACGGGCGCGAGUCGAUACAUUUGUUAUUGAUCCAACGCCAAGCUUCCGAGAUUCUGUGUGGUAGAGCUAUGAGCGCGGUACAGACUUUAUUACACUAAUAUCGUGGAGUAAUCCUAUAACGAUUUUACAAGAUAUUAAAGAUUUCACAAUGCAGGUUUAAUCAGCUCUCGGAUUGCAGCCGCUGACACACGGUUCGGUUAAAGGAAUUGGGGGUAAGCUAAGGCUGUUGUGUAAAAAAAUUAUUAUUUGCCGGACUGUGAAACGGCUUUGCAAUGAGGAGCAGGGUUGAACGGCAAUCAGCAACGCAUCUUUAGUACGGUAUGUCCUCAAUUUCAAACGCCCACCUCACAAGGUCCCGGUCAAGGUAAUUCACUAAAUUCGAUGAAAUUUUGAGUUGCAUACGUACAGCAGAUGUGCAACCGAAUAAGCAUCUGAACUGUCUCAAGACAGCAUCUAUCGGUUUAUUUGACAGCAUGAUUUAUCGGUAGACUGCACAACACAGGUUCGCAUCCUUUCUCGGGUCGAGACAUACGCCGUUUCAUUCGUCCGACUGGAACCAUUUCCGUUUCCUGUCCGUGGAUAAUUUUUGUGCGCUGAAACCGCAGACCGCGAAUACUUUGAUUCAGUACAAAUGAUUCGCACAAUAAUUUUCGAUGAUUGUUAAUCACCACGAUGAUGGGUAACCUUUAAUAAGUAUCGGAAUCGGAUACAAACUCUUUGCCAAAAACAAAAUAGUUAUUACAACAGAAACACUUCCUCGAUGCUAUCCACUAGACUUAUGUGUCCAUUUGUAGUAUGCAAUCACACAAACGUUUACAAUACAUUGGUUUUCAGUCUCUCAAUGUACCGCUUAAGUUCGGCUGUAUUUUUGGCUUUUUCGUACCUGUAAAUACAUGAAAGCGUUAUUCUUGGACCGACUGUUAUAAAACCUGCAAAAGAGGAUUGUUAGUUUGUUACCCAAGGAAGCUCAGGAAAUCGCAAAGUUGUUUCAAACUUACAACCAAAUUAUUUUGUGAUUUCCUGGGUCUUCGCAAAAGUCAUCAUGAAAGUUGCCUUAGUAUUUAUAAACACAGUUCAUUUUGCUGGAAUUACCAUGUUUAUUCCUGGAUGUUUUUGGUGCCCCCUUUUGUCGUCCGACAACGCGCACAGCCCAAUAACAGUAUUAGCGUCUGGCCAGACGCUCUUGAUUGGCUUGUCUGCAUUGCCGGAUUUGUUGGAUUGUGCCGUCGAAUAACAACAGAUGAUUUGAAAUUUCACGGACGCAACCAAUUAUUCUGUAUAGCGAAAGCGAAUUUCUUCGUGGCGUCCUGAUCACGCGAUCACCAUGGUAAAGAACAGCUCCCUUCGAAAGAUGGAUCCACUAAAAAUUCUACAAUAGCCGAUGAAGCCUGAAGUCUCUACCUGGGUUUUACGACAAAAAGUUUUACGACUGAAAGUCGCAGGCCUGACUGAAGAUUCAACCGGAUGACAAAGUAAUUCUGAUGUAAAAAUGCUGAUGUUUUGAGUUAUUAUACUUUUAAAAUUACAUUCUACCAAAGGUAAUAAUACACCGGAUGCGAUGUUGGGGAGACAAUUAAAUGUUAUGGCGGUACAUAGUACAUAUGGAUACUCCUGUUAUGCAUUCUUAAGACUGCAUUACUAACACCCUGUCAACUGGCUGUUGUUGUCAUAACUUGUCUGUUCUGUAUUGCAGUUUUUUCCAAGGUGAAGCAUGCACAUUUUAAGUUUUAAUGAAGCGGUUUUUUUCUGG